GACUGGACAGUGUGUUAUUAGGCUGGACGAGACACGGACGACUGGAACAGGUGAUACUGUACAAAAUGUCAGUUGAAGUGACAUGAAGGUUUUCACUUGUUAGCAUCUCUUGAGCUGCGGUUUGUUCACCUCUAGGUCAGAGCUCUCAGCUCAUGGAGGCGUUCAGAGGGUUUGAAUGAGACCAAGCUCGAGUUGAAACAGCCGUUCUCCUCCACUCUCAGCCAACUGUCCUUUCAUACAUUGUCCCUCAGCUCAAAGAGGGGUCAAAACAGCAGCCACCAGACCAAUUUGUCAUGGGACAGUGUAGUCCCUGUCAACGUCUCCCUCACUCUCAACAAACAGCAGGAGAACAACUCCAGCAGGGGGCAGGCAUGUGCUGUAUUCUCCACACCUCAGAUGAGUGUGUCUUUCGUUAAAGGUUGUGUGUCAGUAGGUCAGGAGGGCAAAUCCUAUUCACAAAAUGCAGAGCUAAAGUGGAACAACAGGAGUGUCAAGCAAGGCUUGACGUAUGAGAAGUGUCCAAGAGGAGUACAUAACCUUCAGGUUAACAUUGGGUUGGACAAAGUUUCUCCUGCACCCUGUCCUUCGCACAUGCUGCUGGCCAAAGUCCAGACCAACCUCAGGGAUCAUUUGCAGCACACAGUGCAGCUGGGCUUCUGCCCCCCACAGCCUACUCUGUCAUGGUCAGGAUCACACAGAGUGAACUCAGGACAGGAGCUGUUUUACACACAGUCUCGAUUAUCAGUGACAGGACGGCCCGACCCGUGCAGCCUCACCGUGGUCCUCACUAAUUCCUCCACUGCUCAGGGCACUAACAUGUCUCUCUUCUCUGAGUCUAGGAUUGGCAACUGGAGUGUGGAGGUGGGGGGCACUGCCUUGUCUUGGCCCCGGGGCUCUCGUCUCCACGUGCAGGCCAGACUGGACCACAGAGAGAAGAUCUGGCUGAGCGGGACAGUAGAGGGGCCGUGUCUUCAGACCACAGCUGGAUACAUGAACGGUUCAGACCUUAAUGAGGACCUCACUUUGGCAGCGUGUGUGGGAACAAAUCACAGCUUUGUGCUGGAUGUGCAGAAAAGAGACAGCAGCAGCAGCAAGUAUGAAACCCUGGGCAGUGUGUCUGUGGGAACAACCAAACAGAAACUGAUGCUGAGAGCAAGUGGCUGUUUGGAGAGUCUGACAGCGGUGGAGACACGGCUUCGCUAUUUAAGUUCUCAGAUACAGAAGAAGCUGCUGGAGAGAAUCAAGACAUUACAGCUUCUCCUCAACGAAUUCAGACGACAGUCCACGGAUGGUGAGUUACUCCAGGAGCUGAUAGCACUGCCUCUUCACAUUGCCCAGUGUGUUGAGGCUCAGCUAUUGCAGAGAGACAGAGGCCUGUUGGCUCUGUGGCUGCAGAGCCCCCUUCGUCGCACCGUGACCGAAAGCUUGCCUCGCUUUCUGAGUGUGCUGCAGCAUGCCUCUCUGCUGGGACAACAGGAACUGAAGAGGCCCCUGGCCACUCUGGCAGGUGUGUAUCAGGAUGUGAAGGGCCAGAGGCUGGAGGCGCUGUGGAGGGAGGCUGUUUCUCUGUGGACUGACGGGCUGGUGGAGGUCUUACCUGCUCUCCUAGGGAACCCUCAGCUGAGGCCACUUGCUCAAACUGGCAUUGCCACACUCAACGUCGCCCUGGAUGUGACAGGACAGCAUACUUACCAGUGGAUGGAGACCAGGUUGGCCAUGGCUCUGUCUGGAGUCAGGAAACGACUGGCCUCUGUCUACAAAUUCUCCCCGAGGUACUAA
rnacentral:lncRNA from 1 species